rnacentral:rRNA from 1 species
UACGAAGGGGGCUAGCGUUGCUCGGAAUCACUGGGCGUAAAGGGUGCGUAGGCGGGUCUUUUAAGUCAGGGGUGAAAUCCUGGAGCUCAACUCCAGAACUGCCUUUGAUACUGAAGAUCUUGAGUUCGGGAGAGGUGAGUGGAACUGCGAGUGUAGAGGUGAAAUUCGUAGAUAUUCGCAAGAACACCAGUGGCGAAGGCGGCUCACUGGCCCGAUACUGACGCUGAGGCACGAAAAGCGUGGGGGAGCGAACAGG